UGAGGAAUAUUGGUCAAUGGACGGGAGUCUGAACCAGCCAAGUAGCGUGCAGGACGACGGCCCUAUGGGUUGUAAACUGCUUUUAUAGGGGGAUAAAGUGUGCCACGUGUGGCAUAUUGCAGGUACCCUAUGAAUAAGGACCGGCUAACUCCGUGCCAGCAGCCGCGGUAAUACGGAGGGUGCAAGCGUUAAUCGGAAUAACUGGGCGUAAAGGGCAUGCAGGCGGUUCAUCAAGUAGGAUGUGAAAUCCCCGGGCUCAACCUGGGAACAGCAUACUAAACUGGUGGACUAGAGUAUUGCAGGGGGAGACGGAAUUCCAGGUGUAGCGGUGGAAUGCGUAGAUAUCUGGAAGAACACCAAAGGCGAAGGCAGUCUCCUGGGCAAAUACUGACGCUCAUAUGCGAAAGCGUGGGUA
rnacentral:rRNA from 1 species